rnacentral:rRNA from 1 species
GACGAACGCUGGCGGCGUGCUUAACACAUGCAGGUCGAACGGAAAGGCCCUGCUUUUGUGGGGUGCUCGAGUGGCGAACGGGUGAGUAACACGUGAGUAACCUGCCCUUGACCUUGGGAUAACUUCAGGAAACUGGGGCUAAUACCGGAUAGGAGCUCCUGCUGCAUAGUGGGGGUUGGAAAGUUUCGGCGGUUGGGGAUGGACUCGCGGCUUAUCAGCUUGUUGGUGGGGUAGUGGCUUACCAAGGCUUUGACGGGUAGCCGGCCUGAGAGGGUGACCGGCCACAUUGGGACUGAGAUACGGCCCAGACUCCUACGGGAGGCAGCAGUGGGGAAUAUUGCACAAUGGGCGGAAGCCUGAUGCAGCAACGCCGCGUGCGGGAUGACGGCCUUCGGGUUGUAAACCGCUUUCGCCUGUGACGAAGCGUGAGUGACGGUAAUGGGUGAAGAAGCACCGGCUAACUACGUG